rnacentral:lncRNA from 1 species
GAGUGUCCAAUGAACUAUCGUAGGAUGAGUGAAAGCAUGGACAAGGAGCUGAGAAUUUGUUUCCAGCCAUAGCUUAGACCGGUUGUUGCUGGCAUCAAACUCGAUAGCCAUGAUGGUUGCCAUAGUUUCUACAUAAAAUUCAUGAUGGCUCCCUAAAUGACAAGCAAAAGCCCCCUUGAACGGGAGAUUAUGUCUAAAAAAAAGCACCACGUCUCAUCAGCCACGAGUUGUCUCUUGCAGCCCCAUCAGUAUUGCAUUUUAUAAAAUAUAAGUUGAAACCCAUUAGGACUAGGUGCUUUGCACAAUUUAAUGCUCAUGAAAACUUUGUUUUUUGUCCUAAAAUUAUUGGUAUAGAUUACGUAGAUCCUCUUUGGAAUAUAAUCUUGUUCUGACCGGUUAGAAUUACUAUGAACAAUAAAAUUCUCUUCUCAAGUAAUAAUACUCUAUGUAUAAAAUUCGAAUUUAAAACUACUUAAGCUAAAACAACUUUAUACCAAUUGACCCUCAAUAGUUGGCUCCUAGUACUAAAAUGCACGCAAGGUUGUCGUGGAAAUAACUUUGAAAUGUGUAAAUUUAACGAACUUGAUAGACAAGAUGUUCAAAUUCUACCAUGCCUAGCAUAAAUUUAACACUAGGGUCGUCUCUUUGUGCCUUGGCUUAAUAAUAUGCUUGAGGCCACCUGGUGCGAUG